GUCCAUGGCCAUGCCACCCUGAACAAGCCUGAUCCCAUCUGAUCUCACAAGGUAAGCAGGGUUAGGCCUGGUUAGUACUUGGAUGGGAGACCAUCUAGGAAGACCAGGUGCUGUAGGUA
rnacentral:rRNA from 1 species